rnacentral:rRNA from 1 species
CCUACGGGGGGCAGCAGUGGGGAAUAUUGGACAAUGGGGGCAACCCUGAUCCAGCCAUGCCGCGUGUGUGAAGAAGGCCCUCGGGUUGUAAAGCACUUUCAGUGAGGAAGAACGCCUGGUGGUUAAUACCCAUCAGGAAAGACAUCACUCACAGAAGAAGCACCGGCUAACUCCGUGCCAGCAGCCGCGGUAAUACGGAGGGUGCGAGCGUUAAUCGGAAUUACUGGGCGUAAAGCGCGCGCAGGUGGCUUGAUAAGCCGGUUGUGAAAGCCCCGGGCUCAACCUGGGAACGGCAUCCGGAACUGUCAAGCUAGAGUGCAGGAGAGGAAGGUAGAAUUCCCGGUGUAGCGGUGAAAUGCGUAGAGAUCGGGAGGAAUACCAGUGGCGAAGGCGGCCUUCUGGACUGACACUGACACUGAGGUGCGAAAGCGUGGGUAGCAAACAGGAUUAGAUACCCGUGUAGUC